rnacentral:rRNA from 1 species
AAUUUUGGACAAUGGGCGCAAGCCUGAUCCAGCCAUGCCGCGUGAGUGAUGAAGGCCUUAGGGUUGUAAAGCUCUUUCAGUGGGGAAGAUAAUGACGGUACCCACAGAAGAAGCCCCGGCUAACUUCGUGCCAGCAGCCGCGGUAAUACGAAGGGGGCUAGCGUUGUUCGGAUUUACUGGGCGUAAAGCGCACGUAGGCGGAUUAUUAAGUCAGGGGUGAAAUCCCGCAGCUCAACUGCGGAACUGCCUUUGAUACUGGUAAUCUAGAGACCGAGAGAGGUAAGUGGAACUCCUAGUGUAGAGGUGGAAUUCGUAGAUAUUAGGAAGAACACCAGUGGCGAAGGCGGCUUACUGGCUCGGAACUGACGCUGAGGUGCGAAAGCGUGGGGAGCAAAC